GACGGUUUAGUUAUUUGGGAGAUACCACAAAGGCUAUCUAAUAAUUUUUCACAUUUCUAUUGGAGUUAUUUCCUUGAUGAUAAUUACAUAAACGAUUUAAAAUUGAUAACUAAGGCACUUAACGCUACGAUUUUGCCAAAAAAGACCCUAAUCUAUCUGCCAUCAUUCAUAAAAAUCUCGAGCUAAAUCAAUAUAAAAUCCGUAAAAUAGAAGCUUUUACUAAUUGAAAAUAUCCUGGCCGAAGAAGAUAUCACUUCGAAUUUAACCUACGGGAUGCAAUUUGUACCAAAUGAAACUCACGUUUAUAAUUUUAAAGAUUAUAGAUAUAUUACGAACGAAACAGCCACAAUGUUGCGAUUUAUACAACCAUACCGGGGAAUACUUGAAGUUCAUGAAUUCCAUGAAUCAUAUAUAAUACUUAAAGGUUCGUUGAGAAACCCUUUCUCAAAAUUACUGUCCAUAUUAUUCAAAUAUAGUUCAAUUUUAUAUUCAAUACCCAAAGUUAAUGUCAUCCUGCAAAAUUGUCAUAACAACACCCUUGGUAUAGCCAACUUUGAAUCUAGAUUUGAAAAAACAAUUUAUAUAGACCAACAAAGUCUUUCUCAUUACGUGUCAUUUGAAGGAAUUUACAAUUUAGUUAUCUCAGAAGGAAAUGCCACAAUCUUUAUAAAGUUGAUUAAAAAUAUAAAAUUGAUAAAAAUUAAAGCAAAAAAUAUAUAAUAGAAAUCUGCCUUUGUAUCCAUUUAGUAAUUUAGCAUUUCCCCACUUGCAUUUUAUUGAUUUAAUAUAUAAAUCCGUGAUACAAUAUUACUAUGAUGGGUAUAUUUACUAUUUAAACAUAUUCCACACCCCCCUGGAAGACAUGAAAAAUGCGUUAAAAUAUUGGGAAGAUUUUUAUAUUUCAGAAAAUAUUACGAUGAUAAUACAGGUAAACUCUAAUAUAUCUGCUCUUUGCAAUAUAGUGUUAAUCUGCAUCAAUGAUGGUUCAGAAUUUCGUAUUCACCUAGGAAUGAAUAAAUAUGCAAUCGUUGAACAAAACAAUAAAUAUUUGACCCUGAAAAUUUAUUACAAUGACACUGUCGAGAAUAUUAUACAUCAUGAUUAUAUAAUUUAUAGCAUAAUGUGUUAUCGGAAUUUUUUGCAGACCGAAGAUCAGUUAAUAAAUGUAACUACUCCUUCUACUUGGAAUGUUACGAAAAAAUUCUAUUUAUCAUAUUCAUAAUAUUAAUUGAUUAGAGGAAUGCAUAAAUAUAUAAAAUUUUAUAAUUUAUAUUAUAAAUAAUUUUAUUGGUUAAGGGUGACAUUUUUU